AUAGAAGGUAGUAAGCUGAGAUGUAUAACGAUCGAUAAUUCCUACGAAUUUGUAACGCAAGCGAGUGAUGGGUGAAUGGAUAUAAGUAGUUCGUUUCGUGCCUCUCUUGUCGUGUUAAGCGCGAUCUAUGUGUAAUAGAGCGACACAGGAUAGUGAUAUAGAUAGAGACAGAGAGCUCGAUCCAGUUGGAGUAGAGCAUGAUUGCGGUUAGUAGAAAAAAGCAAGUAGGAAGAAAAUAAGAUGCUUGGACGCAAAUGAAAGUGAGUAAGCGGUUCCCCGGCGUUCCAGUUUUCAGCUGGGCGUUGUCCCCAUAAAAUAGUUGCAUUUCACUCUCGUUCCCAAUGAUGGAUGAUAACUGUGCAAGGUUAAGUGAGUUCGACAGCUAUGAAAUGGUUAAAGCCUUGUACGACUUCAAAGCCACGUUUGCGAAGACCCUUAGCUUUCGGGAAGGUGAAUAUUUUAUUUUACUACAACGUAAUAUCAAGCAGAAGAACUGGUGGCAAGUUGUAAAUAGAGGCGGCCAUCUGGGCUACAUACCAUCUAAUUACGUCACUCCUAUAAAGGUUCAAUCUCAGUUUAUGAUUGACUUUUUGGAAGACUGUAUAAUAACUCUGGAGACAGAGCUUAGUAAACAUAGUGAAUCACUGCAUACAGACAAGCAAGAUCUUCUAGCAAAAUUAGUAGAAAGGAAGAAGCAAAUUGAAUUAAAUAGAAAACCUAAAAAGCAAGCGCCUAAACCACCGUCAGAUUUAGAAGAUAGCAUUACAUCCAAAGAAGCACAAUCGAUUGCUGUCUGUGACAAUACAAAGACAGAUGUUAGAUCAGUGCCGAGUAAUACUUCUUAUACAACAGCACAGACUAUUCCUCAUACUAAUAUUAAUGCAGAUACUGUUCAAGCAAUUAUACAAUGUCAACAACCAGGUAUAAAUGAACAACGUGUACAAACAUUUCCUCGUCAGUCAUCCUCUGAUACUAUGCAAAAAGUCCAGUCACAAAUUACAGAAGUACGUAAGAGUUCUUCCCAAGGCAGCAUACAGAAUAUAUGCUGUGGCUCACCAGCUAAGAGCAACUCGCCUGCUAAAAGCAGCUCGCCGGCUAAAAGCAACUUAUCGUUGCAAGCUAUUAAUUCACGAAGUGCUUAUCAACUACUCGAUCAAGUACGCAAAAAUACUCAACUUAGUUAUGAAAUGUCAAAAGUAGCAGUUACGGUCGUAGUAUCUGGCCUGCGGCAGUUACUGCCAGAAACUGUAAGUCAUUAUUUCGAUGCUUUGUUGCAUCAGCUACAAACACCACUGACUGUAUCAAAGAUGAGUAUAGAAGAAACUUAUGAUGCUAAUAGGUUGAAAAUAAUUUUUACCGAAUUGACUUCGUGCAAAGAAGAUUCACAACAAAGAAGUUGGAUGCUUUAUGAAGAUGAAUCUAUCAUCGUGGAAUAUAUUAAAGAGUUGACCGAAAUAUUGACGAACGCUGAUGCAAAUGUAUCGAGAUAUGUUUUGAGGCAAGAUCGGUAUAAUGGAGUGACAAUAUUAAUACAAUAUUAUCAAAUGGAAACAAGAUGGACUAUUAGACAAUUGUUGUUGCAAUCAUUUGGUGUUAUGUGCAGUUUGGAUCCAGUGGUUCUAACUAUAAUGUUGAAUAGUAUUUUACCAAUGGAAUUAGCAAGAGAUAUGAAGAGUAAUCCCAGAAAUGUACUAAGAUUAAAUUACUCAUCUUUGUUGCUUACAAUGAUCUUCUCGAUGGGUGAGCCCAUGCCAGUUACGCAUUUGGAACAACUUGGUCCAGACUUUAUAUCAUUCCUUUUAGACCUAAUAGAAACACCACCUGAUACAGAUUUAGAGGAUCAAAUUCCUGACUUGUUCGUAAAUUUAAUAUUAUCCUACAAUCUGCAAUUUACAACUUCUGAAAAUAUAGUUCUAAAUGCCUUACGAGAGCGGACUGUGGCCAAAACUUUCACUGAAAAAAUUUUAUUCCUUUUUAACAGAGAAGAGGAUCCGGUACGGAUAUUCGAUCAUGAGCCACAGCCACCACAUUCUGUAUUGAAACUCUUUAUCGACCUAUUCAGUAAUGAUGUUAUAGCAAGUCUCUUCUACACCAAUGAUGUGAAGGUUCUCAUUGACAUUAUAUUACGGCAACUUUUUGACAUGUUCCCGGGUGAUAAGCGUCGACAAUACUUAGAGCUCUGCCGUCGAGUUCUACGUACGUCAAGCUAUAACGAGCACCGUCAUCGAUCAGAAGAUUUAUUAAAAUGUUUUACCAGGAUAUUCUGCGAGGAAACUACAGAAAGUCAAGAAGACCAACAAGUAGUACGUGAAAUUAGCAACGAAUUUCCACAUUUAUUCAAAAUGUGACAUUUAAUUUCAUCCUCUGAUCAAGAUUUGGAAGAGGAUGAUCUGCAAACUCUUGUCUAAAUAAAUCCUUCAAACUCGUCGAAGAGAGAUACAAAUACUUUUACUAACUUUACUACUCUGGUUAAGCAAAUAACGCUGUUAUUUUGCGAAUGUCUCAAUCAUCUUUACAUAAAAAAAGAACAAAGUAUUAGAUAAAAAUUCAUACAGGAAUUUGUAAGAUUUACUAGGUGCCACUGCAAU
rnacentral:misc_RNA from 1 species